CAGAUAAAUGAUUGGUAUCCAAAAUUUAUAAAAGAUUUAUCAAACUCAACACCCAAAAAACCAAAUAACUCAGUCAAGAAGUAGGCAGAAGACACGAACGGACAUUUCCCCAAAGAAGACAUAUAAAUGGCCAACAGACACAUGAGAAAAUGCUCAGUGUUAUUCAACAUCAGGGAA